GCCGCAAUAGCUCAGUUGGUAGAGCAUCGCAUUCGUAAUGCGGGGGUCGGGGGUUCAAAUCCCUCUUGCGGCACCA
rnacentral:tRNA from 1 species